ACACACCGCCCGUCCACACCAUGGAAGUCUGCAAUGCCCGAAGCCGGUGGCCUAACCACUUAUGUGGAAGGAGCCGUCUAAGGCAGGGCAGAUGACUGGGGUGAAGUCGUAACAAGGUAUC
rnacentral:rRNA from 1 species